rnacentral:ncRNA from 1 species
CAAAUUGCUAUGAUGGGAAGGAGUAGGAAGGCUUACCUUAAAGAGAGCUGCUGCCUUAGGCUGAAAGCAGUGGCAGGGAAUCUUCUGAAGGGUGCGCCCCGGAGCUUUUCUGCCGAAAAGGGUAGGCAGAGACGGUAAUACCGUUAUAAUUCUAAGUGAGGCUUUGCCUAAAUAGAGUGGAACCGCGGAGUCCCCUUCGUCUCUAUG